rnacentral:rRNA from 1 species
UACGUAGGGGGGCAAGCGUUGUCCGGAUUUAUUGGGCGUAAAGAGCGUGUAGGCGGUUUGGUAGGUCCGCUGUGAAAACUCGAGGCUCAACCUCGAGACGCCGGUGGAAACCAUCAGACUAGAGUCCGGAAGAGGAGAGUGGAAUUCCUGGUGUAGCGGUGAAAUGCGCAGAUAUCAGGAAGAACACCAGUGGCGAAGGCGAUCACCUGGGGUUGUUCUGACGCUGAGGAGCGAAAGCUAGGGGAGCAAACGGG